rnacentral:rRNA from 1 species
GACGAACCGUGCAAACGUUGUUCGGAAUCACUGGGCUUAAAGGGCGCGUAGGCGGGUGGCCAAGUCAGGGGUGAAAUCUUUCAGCUUAACUGGAAAAUAGCUUCUGAUACUGGCCGUCUUGAGGGGGGUAGGGGCAUGUGGAACUUCCGGUGGAGCGGUGAAAUGCGUAGAUAUCGGAAGGAACGCCGGUGGCGAAAGCGACGUGCUGGACCCUUUCUGACGCUGAGGCGCGAAAGCCAGGGGAGCAAACGGG